GAUGCAGCCAUGCCGCGUGUGUGAAGAAGGCCUUCGGGUUGUAAAGCACUUUCAGUUGUGAGGAAAGGUUGGUAGUUAAUACCUGCCAGCUGUGACGUUAACAACAGAAGAAGCACCGGCUAACUCCGUGCCAGCAGCCGCGGUAAUACGGAGGGUGCGAGCGUUAAUCGGAAUUACUGGGCGUAAAGCGCACGCAGGCGGUUUGUUAAGCUAGAUGUGAAAGCCCCGGGCUCAACCUGGGAUGGUCAUUUAGAACUGGCAGACUAGAGUCUUGGAGAGGGGAGUGGAAUUCCAGGUGUAGCGGUGAAAUGCGUAGAUAUCUGGAGGAACAUCAGUGGCGAAGGCGGCUCCCUGGCCAAAGACUGACGCUCAUGUGCGAAAGUGUGGGUAGCGAACAGGAUUAGAUACCCUGGUAGUCCACACCGUAAACGCUGUCUACUAGCUGUUUGUGAAUUUAAUUCGUGAGUAGCGAAGCUAACGCGCUAAGUAGACCGCCUGGGGAGUACGGCCGCAAGGUUAAAAC
rnacentral:rRNA from 1 species